rnacentral:rRNA from 1 species
UGAGGAAUUUUGCGCAAUGGGGGGAACCCUGACGCAGCAACGCCGCGUGAGUGAUGAAGGUCGUAAGAUCGUAAAACUCUUUUCAGGGAUCUUAAAGCCUGUCUGUCAACAACAGGCAGGUCUGACUCUCCCUGGAAGAAGCCCCAGCCAACUACGUGCCAGCAGCUGCGGUAAUACGUAGGGGGCGAGCGUUAUUCGGAAUUACUGGGUGUAAAGGGUAUGUAGGCGGCCCUUCAAGUCGCGUGUCAAAGUCCAGUGCUCAACGCUGGGUGUGCGCGCGAUACUGACGGGCUUGAGGGCUGGAGAGGUGAGCGGAAUUCCCGGUGUAGUAGUAAAAUACGGAGAGAUCGGGAGGAACACCAGCGGCGCAGGCGGCUCACUGGACAGUUUCUGACGCUAAGAUACGAAAGCGUGGGGAGCAAACA